UGGGCUGAUUCUGGAUUCGACGGGAUUUGCGAAACCCAAGGUGCAUGCCGAGGGGCGGUUGGCCUCGUAAAAAGCCGCAAAAAAUAGUCGCAAACGACGAAAACUACGCUUUAGCAGCUUAAUAACCUGCUUAGAGCCCUCUCUCCCUAGCCUCCGCUCUUAGGACGGGGAUCAAGAGAGGUCAAACCCAAAAGAGAUCGCGUGGAAGCCCUGCCUGGGGUUGAAGCGUUAAAACUUAAUCAGGCUAGUUUGUUAGUGGCGUGUCCGUCCGCAGCUGGCAAGCGAAUGUAAAGACUGACUAAGCAUGUAGUACCGAGGACGUAGGAAUUUCGGACGCGGGUUCAACUCCCGCCAGCUCCACCA
rnacentral:tmRNA from 1 species